AGUAGAGAGGAGCAAAACCACGAACACAACAGUGGCAGAGCACAGAUUAUUCUCCUAUGUGAUUUUUAAAGCCUUCCGCUAGUUCAUUCUGUGUGCUCUAAGAAGAAAGCUGCUGAGAGCUGGAGGUUCAGAAACAGAUGGUUCUACUUCUCUUCAUACUCUUUCCCCUUGUAAUCAAAGAAAUUGUUGACAGAAGUAGCUAGAAACAUCAAGAAACUGUUUUGCAUAUUUCUGAACCUACCUAUCCAACCACCAGAGACAUGCACGCAUCUGAGGGCAGAAUAUUACAGAGGCCCUGACGGGAUGUAAUGCUGUCAGUGGAAAGAGGCCAGGAAAGAGAGAAGCAACUACCCUAUAAGGUUACUGCUCUGUUCCCCUCCAGAGUCUGAAGAUUUCGGAGGUCUGGUGGUGUACAUUACUCACCUCCCGACAGUGCACCAAGUCAUGUUCUACUGCAAGAACCUUGCAAAUCCAGACCAAUUCCCAGGCAGGUUUGCAGGUCGUAUUAUGCAUCAUUCUUUUACAGGACAGACACUGGUACAGAACAGAAAAGCAUCUGAAAGGCUUAUAGUAAAUACCUAUGUUGGUUCUCUGCUCUGCAGAUGAAUUUACGAGGUAACCCAUAGCCAGAGCUCUCCAGCAUCUCUGCUCUGCGACUUUGUAGCUGCUCGCUCUCUUGAAAGCGCUGCUGAAAGUUAGAAGACUUAACAGCUUCAGUAAUUUAGAGACUACUUAACGCUUCUCCUGGUUUCUGAGCUUUUCUCCUGUUACUAAUGAGUUAUCCCACUGAGAUGAAUGAGUAGCACUGGCAGGACCAGCGAAUUUGCUUUAUUAGUAGUACAGAGCUAUGCAGGUAAAUCUCAUUAAAGUCAUUAUUAUGCCACAUUACAGACAUGGAAAACUAAUAUUUACCUAUUUCACAGUGGUGUUCAGAGAAUUAAUUAGUCUGUGAAUUGUUUCAAGACACAUUGAUAAAGACUCCAUGGGAGUGCAACUGCUUUGGACUGACGGAGAAAGUGCUGGGGGGCAGGAGGGGGCAAUGAAGAUCAGAGGCCAUUGCUGUUUAUUUUAUACACAGGUAGAACACUCCAUCAGAAUGAGUUAAGAAAGCUCAAGCGAGCACAAGCAGAUAGAAAACACUAUCUUCGAUGUGGAAGUCACUUUGCACUGUAUUAAGGAUGGGUUUAGAACAUUUUAGUGCAAAGCCUUCCAAACUGGUCUUUGCAACCCCUUCUUGCAAUCGGGUAGUAGACCUGGCAAGCCACAAAGGUCCCACCCAGCAGCAGGACCUAACUGUGGAGCCCAGCGAUCCUCUGCCCCAGCUGCACAAAGACCGGGAGGCCAUGCAGCCCAGCGGUGUGCUGGACGUGCCAUCCCUCGCCAGUACCCAUGCAGAGAGCCUGAGGCCGGCUGCCCUCUUCUCCUCCUCCUUGGCUCCCCUGGCCACACCAGCAGGCAGAUGCCAUCUGGCCGCUGCAGGAGAGUGCUGCGAAGCCUCAGGUGUGCGGCUGCAGGAUGACCAAACAAAUCACUGCGAGCUCAGCUCAUCUGAAAGGAAUGAGUUUACGGACAUGCUUCCUGGGGAAAAACAAACCAACCUAUGGAAUGUGCACAACAAAGUCACUGCAGGCUUUGUACGAGCAGCUCAGAGUUUACUGUCUGUUACUUCCCAAUUUUGAUGGUGUCUACUUCUGUGUGGUGGCUGUCUUCCCCAGGUCAGAAACGGAACCCCAGAAUAAAACCACUUGAACAACCAACCCGCCUUCAUGCUUCUACAGAAAACCUGCCAAGCAAUUAACUAUUUUCCCUAUUUCACAGCUGCACAUUAUUUAACAUCAAUAUACCAGAACAGAGUAAAAUCAUCGCAGUGCUACAAUUCUCAUGAAUACUGUUAAGAAGUCCAAGGCUGUGACAGUUUCAAUCAUUCAAGUUUUAGAUCAGUAGCUAACGUAUGCCCCUGGGUGACUUCAGCUCUAAAAAUACUCUCCAUUUAUAAAGACACAUAGCAUGGGGUUUUGUGCAGCCCCCCUACUCAUCGCUACCUCUCCCCAGAAGGACAGAGGACCUUGACCCACCCCUGCAGGGACUCGCACCCAUCGGCUCCCCAACACACUGGGGGAGUCAGCCCUGCGCUGGGACCACCACCACUGGACCACCGCUGGGAACACGCCACUGGCAUGAUCCCCCCUCCCCGACGGUGCAGGCUGGCCCGCAGCUCCAGAGUCACCACCAGUGGCUAGAAGCGACUAGGAGCAAGAUCUGCUAAUACUUUUGUCAUCCCCUGCUCAUUUAACAGCCAAAAACUCAGGUGCUUUUCUUUAUUCCCAACCAAGUUUUAUUGCUUUCAUUGUUAUUUCCUCAGAGGACUACUUAAUUAGUUCAAAAUGCCAAUGGCACAUAGAUCUUAUGCUUAAAUUAAACAAUAGCUUAAAUAAUGCUCUAGGGAGGUACUUUUCCCAGCCUGUUAUUUUUAGUUAUCUCGGGGAGCGCAGUGCUACCACAUUGGCAACAGAAAGAGGAAGAGCGAGAAUGUUUUUCACAACAGAAUUUAACUCAAGAUCCAUCUAAUGAUUAGCAUCAAAAUUCUGAAAUAAUGAAAUAUACUGUGUCCAUAACUAGAGAAACAAGCAACAGAAAACAUGAUUCAUUGCCCUAAAAAAAACCCCAAAAAAACACUUUAGCUGUUCUCACCCUAGUUUGGGGUUGGUGGUUGUUUUUUUUUUUCUUUUCAACAGAAAGUUGUCACUGACAAAACUGGAGGAAACAGCAGCCAGAACGGUCAAGAGCACGUUUCCCUCUAACUGCAGAGGGCAUGCAGAAAAGUCCCUCCCCACAGUCGCAGGCUGUCUGUGCAGAAGGAACUACAAAACAGACCAAACGUUCAUCUGCUCUGGAAACUCGGCUAAAAAGCUACCAGAAUAUACAUUAGCUAUACUUAGCUGUAGCAGUGUAAAGGGAGCGGGUAAGAAGCGAGAGAGGCCCUCACAAGACAGGCGUGUGUAGGAAGAAGCACUGAUACAGAUGGCAAAAUGCUCACCCCGGCUGGGAAGACCUCCAACUUGGAGCCUGCUGAUUUAAGAGGAUAUGAAAGACAGUUAAAUGAAUUGCCCAAGAAAGAUCAUUCCUCACUACACAAAAGCGGAUGGUAAAUAGGGAAAAAAAAAAACAUGUUUGUAACUUGUUACGUCAACUACAAGUUUUUUUAAUUGGUUCUUUUUUGAAGUGUUAUAUUCAAGAAAAUAAAACAGAAAUUAGAUCCAACUUUGGGGAGAACAGAAGAAAAAAAGAAGUUACUUACUAAGCAAGGUGAAAAUUUUAUAUUGCGGUAUGACCAGCUGCUGAAACAGCUAAAACAUGUUCUGUUCUCAUCUUUCCCCAAGACCCAAACCCAAUGGCUCUGUGCAACAGAUGAGAAACAGAGAAGGGUGUAGACAAACUGCCAUGUCCCGCCAGCUUCCAUACAGUCACCAGAGAAGCCAAGGCUGAACCUAAGCCAGGACCUGAAGCUGCAGGAUGCUCUACCAUCAUACCACUGAAGUUCUACACCAACUUUAUUCCCUGCCUACAGGUAGAUUCAAUUUGUCAGAAAGUCCAGUCUCAGGCAUCAGAGUCACUCAACCGUAACUCACAAAAACUUUGCUCAGAAGCAUUUAACUUUAAUAACCAUGAUAAUCCUUUUCUAAGUGGUAUUAUGACCUAAUUCACUCCCUUUAACACUUGACAGUGACACUGGCCACAGCAGACCCCAAUCCACCCAAGAGCUAGGCACACCAGAGUUCAUUUCAAAACUGCCCUCGGAAAGCAGCAUUUUUAAACGUGCAGGGGACCACAAGAAGAACCUCAUGUGCAAUUUUAACACAGUCAUGAAGCAGAGUGGAUUCCAUGUGUGAGUUAGAGAUACUGGGAUACCAGAAAACGUCUCUUUUUCUAAAGCAAACAGAUAAUCUGGUGUUGUAGCAAACAGGAUGUGGUAAAAAGAAAACCAGCUAAAGGUGGUUAUGCACUCCGCUUUGAGACAUGCUGUACUUCCCCAUAAAGCUUCUGCUGUGGAGGAAGCAGCUUCUGCAGGAACAGCCGGCUGCUGGGCUAUUAAGCACUGCCAGAGCAUUUUUCUGUGUGGCUCUAUUAUCUUCAUGUCCUCUGACUCAUUAGGCGAUUCUUCGAGAGUUCAAGAUCAUCGUGAAGCAUCACUCCUGCAGUCAUGCCAUCUUCAAGAAAUGUGAGGAACCUAUUUGCCUUCAUGAAGAAAAAGAUUUAAACAGAGGACAGAGACUUGUUUAUGCAAAUCUUAUGAAGCCUCCAGGUCAUUUUUAUCCCUGGAAAGGCUGCUGCCACACCACUCGCUGAUGGAGCUUCCUGCUCCGAUUCUGAUCUUAAAGGGCAGAGCAAAGGUUUUGGUUUCCAAGCCCAAACUGCCCAUGCGAUUCCCUGCAGUUGCACACCUGGGGUGAGUGGCAGGGAGGGAAUUUGGGCCAAUCUUUUAUAGUGGGACCUGGAAAGCACUGAUCCUAAAAGGAUUUAAGGGCUCAUUAAGGAUAAACACUUGCAGCUGGUAAGACCUGCACCAUAAUUAGAAUACACAUAGGAAAACAUCCAACAGGAAGGACUCCAUACAUGACAUCAGAAAGACUUGUAUCAGACAGCUGAUCAAAGCCCUGUUUUUUACAUUUGAAAGAAGGAUAUUCAAAAACAGAAAAAAAAUUACUUGGAGCUGUAAGAACGAACUGUGGUCUCGGGGAAAAAAAAAAAAAAGAAAAAAAGCUUAACAGUCCUCAUCUACAUCGCUUGCCAAAGGAAAAAAUAUGUAGCCUGAUGAAGUUUUAUAGUUAGUAUAUAAGUAUAAAGCACCAUAUACUAGAUGGCUCUUUAACUGAGAAAAUAAAGGCAGAAGAAGAGCCAGCAGCAAGGGGAUGAACCAGCAGAAUUACAGCUCAUGAUCAGAGACUCGUUUGACUCAGAUCGACCUGAACUCCUUCGAGCAGGGGCUGCCUCCUGCGGGGCAUCCACCCCAGACCAGCAUUAGCUGCAGUCUCUCCACAUCCCCGCCACAGAAAGAUACGACAACAAGAGUAAAAAGAAGAAACCAGCUUCAGAAGUAACUGAAAUUCCAGCAAAGUGGUCACAGAAGCCCUCCUCAUUUCCAGGUAACAGAGGGCAAGUACUGCUAUGACUGUACCAAGGGGAAAAGAGGAGAAAAACUCUCUGCACAUCUAUGAACUAUGCAUCUCAAGAUGUAAGUGAGAAACAAAUAUGCUAAUGAAACUUUGGACUCUAAAAUUCCAGGUUCAACAGCUACCAGCAUGGGGGGGGGGGGGUGCGUGUGUGU